UACGGGGGUUGCAAGCGUUAUUCGGAAUUAUUGGGCGUAAAGGGCGCGUAGGCGGUUGAAUAAGUCAGAUGUGAAAGCCCUUGGCUUAACCAAGGAAGUGCAUUUGAUACUAUUUGACUUGAGUAUGGGAGAGGGAAGUGGAAUUCCUGGUGUAGAGGUGAAAUUCGUAGAUAUCAGGAGGAACACCGGUGGCGAAAGCGACUUCCUGGACCAAUACUGACGCUGAGGGACGAAAGCUAGGGGAGCAAACCGG
rnacentral:rRNA from 1 species